rnacentral:lncRNA from 1 species
AUGAAAUGGAUUCCGGAAUCCCUAGUGAUGUGGCCUCACAUGGAGCGAUGAAAAUUGUGGUAAAAGAGAUGGCAAGCGAAUCCUAACUGCAGGUAUGUGUGGUUCUCCUCGCCUGGCAGUGAUUCAACGGGUAUGUGUGGUUCUCCUCGCCCGGGAUGCCAUGAGAAUAAGCUGGAAUUUGGUAUGUGUGGUUCUCCUCGCCCAUUAGCUUAUCGGAUGAUGCCGCCUAGAUUGACUUGAACCUUGCUGGGUAAGAGCGAUGUGGUCGCUGCCAGAUGACUAAGUCACGUCUUGAACCAUUGUUAGGUGAGGUGCGAUUAGUUCGCCGCCAGAUGGCUAAGUCAUGACUUGAGUUGUUGUUGGGUUCGAUGCGAUGAGUUCGCCACCAGAUGGUUAAGUCAGAUUUGCGGUAGGCUGUGACGGCAGCCAGGCUGAGAUGCAGCCAGUGCGCGGACUAUCCGCGGAUGAUUGACUCGAGGCCGAGUCGGGUGGUUAGCUUGAUUAGGAUAAUAGAAACCUUAUAAGCUAGUGAUUGAGGC